rnacentral:misc_RNA from 1 species
GAUGAAGAACGCAGCGAAAUGCGAUAAGUAAUGUGAAUUGCAGAAUUCAGUGAAUCAUCGAGUCUUUGAACGCACAUUGCGCCGCCUGGUAUUCCGGGGGGCAUGCCUGUCCGAGCGUCAUUGCUGCCCUCAAGCACGGCUUGUGUGUUGGGCCCCGCCCCCCGGCUCCCGGGGGGCGGGCCCGAAAGGCAGCGGCGGCACCGCGUCCGGUCCUCGAGCGUAUGGGGCUUCGUCACCCGCUCCGUAGGCCCGGCCGGCGCCCGCCGGCGACCCCCCUCAAUCUUUUCAGGUUGACCUCGGAUCAGGUAGGGAUACCCGCUGAACUUAAGCAUAUCAAUAAGCGGAGGA